AUUGAACGCUGGCGGCAGGCUUAACACAUGCAAGUCGAGCGGGGUGAUGGUGCUUGCACUAUCACUUAGCGGCGGACGGGUGAGUAAUGCUUAGGAAUCUGCCUAUUAGUGGGGGACAACAUCUCGAAAGGGAUGCUAGUACCGCAUACGUCCUACGGGAGAAAGCAGGGGAUCACUUGUGACCUUGCGCUAAUAGAUGAGCCUAAGUCGGAUUAGCUAGUUGGUGGGGUAAAGGCCUACCAAGGCGACGAUCUGUAGCGGGUCUGAGAGGAUGAUCCGCCACACUGGGACUGAGACACGGCCCAGACUCCUACGGGAGGCAGCAGUGGGGAAUAUUGGACAAUGGGGGAAACCCUGAUCCAGCCAUGCCGCGUGUGUGAAGAAGGCCUUAUGGUUGUAAAGCACUUUAAGCGAGGAGGAGGCUCUUUUGGUUAAUAACCGCAUUGAUUGACGUUACCCGCAGAAGAAGCACCGGCUAACUCCGUGCCAGCCGCCGCCGUAA
rnacentral:rRNA from 1 species